GACGAACGCUGGCGGCGUGCCUAAUACAUGCAAGUCGAGCGGACGAAUCGAAAGCUUGCUUUUGAUUCGUUAGCGGCGGACGGGUGAGUAACACGUGGGCAACCUGCCCUGUAGACGGGGAUAACACCGAGAAAUCGGUGCUAAUACCGGAUAACACGAAAUGUCGCAUGACGUUUCGUUGAAAGACGGCGCAAGCUGUCGCUACAGGAUGGGCCCGCGGCGCAUUAGCUAGUUGGUGAGGUAACGGCUCACCAAGGCGACGAUGCGUAGCCGACCUGAGAGGGGGAUCGGCCACACUGGGACUGAGACACGGCCCAGACUCCUACGGGAGGCAGCAGUAGGGAAUCUUCCGCAAUGGACGAAAGUCUGACGGAGCAACGCCGCGUGAGCGAAGAAGGCCUUCGGGUCGUAAAGCUCUGUUGUUAGGGAAGAACAAGUAACGCAGUAACUGGCGUUACCGUGACGGUACCUAACGAGAAAGCCACGGCUAACUACGUG
rnacentral:rRNA from 1 species